rnacentral:rRNA from 1 species
UACAGAGGUCUCAAGCGUUGUUCGGAUUCAUUGGGCGUAAAGGGUGCGUAGGUGGCGUGGUAAGUCGGGUGUGAAAUUUCGGAGCUUAACUCCGAAACUGCAUUCGAUACUGCUGUGCUUGAGGACUGGAGAGGAGACUGGAAUUUACGGUGUAGCAGUGAAAUGCGUAGAGAUCGUAAGGAAGACCAGUGGCGAAGGCGGGUCUCUGGGCCGAUACUGACGCUGAGGAGCGAAAGCGUGGGGAGCGAACAGG